rnacentral:rRNA from 1 species
CCAACUGAACGUGUUCCUCAAGUACUCCACUUUAGCAGCAACCUCCUCCUCGCUUUGGAAUGCAACAGCAUGCAGCGCUGCUCUGAACAUCCCAGAGCCACGGGGCACACCUAUGCCUUCGGCGCAUGCCACCAUCACCCGGAUGUGCUCUGUGUUGGUGGUGAGCAUCCUGGGCACAGCGAUUAACAGCUUGGCAAUAUCGCAAGCACCUAG